UACAGAGGUCUCAAGCGUUGUUCGGAUUCACUGGGCGUAAAGCGCACGUAGGCGGAUUUUUAAGUCAGGGGUGAAAUCCCGAGGCUCAACCUCGGAACUGCCUUUGAUACUGGAGAUCUUGAGUCCGGAAGAGGUAAGUGGAACUGCGAGUGUAGAGGUGAAAUUCGUAGAUAUUCGCAAGAACACCAGUGGCGAAGGCGGCUUACUGGUCCGGAACUGACGCUGAGGUGCGAAAGCGUGGGGAGCAAACAGG
rnacentral:rRNA from 1 species